GACGUAGGGGGCGAGCGUUGUCCGGAGUUACCGGGCGUAAAGCGCUUGUAGGCGGUCCACCAAGUUUGGGGUGACAGUUGCCGACUUAAUCGGCAAAGUGCCUCAAAGACUGGCGGACUUGAGGGCCACAGAGGGACAUGGAACUCCAGGUGUAGUGGUGAAAUGCGUAGAUAUCUGGAAGAACACCAAAGGCGAAGGCAGUGUCCUGGGUGGUCGCUGACGCUGAGAGGCGAAAGCCAGGGGAGCGAACGGG
rnacentral:rRNA from 1 species